rnacentral:rRNA from 1 species
UGGUGCCUACGGGGGGCAGCAGUGGGGAAUAUUGCACAAUGGGGGAAACCCUGAUGCAGCAACGCCGCGUGAGUGAAGAAGUAUUUCGGUAUGUAAAGCUCUAUCAGCAGGGAAGAAGAUGACGGUACCUGAGUAAGAAGCCCCGGCUAACUACGUGCCAGCAGCCGCGGUAAUACGUAGGGAGCAAGCGUUAUCCGGAUUUAUUGGGUGUAAAGGGUGCGUAGACGGGAAGGCAAGUUGGUUGUGAAAUCCCUCGGCUUAACUGAGGAACUGCAACCAAAACUAUCUUUCUUGAGUGCUGGAGG